GCUGCCAUGACCCGCACCUUUGACGAAGGCAGUUUGGUCCAUACGUGAGAAUACGCUGAGGGCAUUUUAUGUCAGAAAUAAGGUCGCAGUAAAGUUAGCUGCAGUUUCUGUUUGAUCUGCUUUUAUCUUCAAAACUUUCACGGAGUGUGUUUGCGGACAUUCCAAGGAAGCCUAGCCUUUGGUACCAUUUCCCACACUCGUUCCUGGAACUCACCGCACGUUCCCGCGGCUCCCGUCACUGCCGGAAGCCGCAGACGCGCGUGCUCUCGCGGGGAUGCUUGUGCUCUCGCGGUAACGCUCGUGGUCUCGCGGGACAUGCGCUGGAGGGGAUGCGCGUACUCCCGCGGUCCUGGAGGCAGAGCUGUGGUGUCCUCGCGCGCAGGCUCUGGCGGAGGGGGUGGCGCCAGUCCCCUGGUGGCUGCCGGACCCUGGUUGUGGCCACAUCCCCCCAUCCUCCGAGUGUUUGCAUUCCUGCAUGAUGAACUCAGAGGGGAAAACAGAAGGAUGAAGUAAGCUGAGAGAGACUAUACCAACAAGUGGACAAUGACAGUCUACCCAGUCCUUCAGCAAGUAUUGACUGCUAGCUACAGAGGAUAGUUUGCAGGGAGGGGGACAAAACUGAGAUCGGGGCACCACGACCUCGUGUGGCAGCAGAGAGGUCACUGUGCAUGGAACUCGAGAAAUGAGGAGGAAACAAGCACUACAACGUGGCUGCGAUCUAGACGAGCCGAGUAAAAAGACUGGUGCCGCCGCGGGACAGACGGGACUUCACCGUCGGCUUCCCCAGAGAGAGGAUACACCACAGCUUCCAAAACCUCGUUGAGCAAAUGGGGCCCAGGUGUGCAAGCGGGAUGCUGGUUCCCUCAGCCCUUCCUGCCAUCCAACCCUCCUCUCUCUAGGCUUUUCACUGCUGAAGGUAUUCUCUCCCUCCUCCCCUAGUGUUUCUCAAAUUUUUUCUAGUAGGAUCCGUAAUUAGAAACGCUAUUCACAUCACAACCCUUACUUAUUUGUAAUGCAUGCUGACAUUUUGCAACCUAUUCUUUCAUCUAAAUUGAAAUUCUAGGGGCGCCUGGGUGGCACAGUCGGUUAAGCGUCCGACUUCAGCCAGGUCACGAUCUCGCUGUCAGUGAGUUCGAGCCCGACGGGGCUCUGGGCUGAUGGCUCGGAGCCUGGAGCCUGUUUUGAUUCUGUGUAUCCCUCUCUCUCUGCCCGUCCCCCGUUCAUGCUCUGUCUCUCUCUGUCCCAAAAAUAAAUAAAAAACGUUAAAAAAAUAAAUAAAUAAAUUGAAAUUCUAGUUGUGAUCCACUGAAGUGA